rnacentral:rRNA from 1 species
CGUAGGGUGCAAGCGUUGUCCGGAAUUAUUGGGCGUAAAGAGCUCGUAGGCGGUUUGUCGCGUCUGCUGUGAAAUCUGGGGGCUCAACCCCCAGCCUGCAGUGGGUACGGGCGAGACUAGAGUGCGGUAGGGGAGGAUUGGAAUUCCUGGUGUAGCGGUGGAAUGCGCAGAUAUCAGGAGGAACACCGAUGGCGAAGGCAGAUCUCUGGGCCGGUAACUGACGCUGAGGAGCGAAAGCAUGGGAGCGAACAGGAUU